rnacentral:rRNA from 1 species
UACGUAGGGUGCGAGCGUUGUCCGGAAUUAUUGGGCGUAAAGAGCUCGUAGGCGGUGUGUCGCGUCGGCCGUGAAAACCUGGGGCUCAACUCUGGGCGUGCGGUCGAUACGGGCAUCACUUGAGUUCGGCGGGGGAGACUGGAAUCCCUGGUGUAGCGGUGAAAUGCGCAGAUAUCAGGAGGAACACCGGUGGCGAAGGCGGGUCUCUGGGCCGAUACUGACGCUGAGGAGCGAAAGCAUGGGUAGCGAACAGG